CGGUAAUACGUAGGGUGCAGGCGUUAAUCGGAAUUACUGGGCGUAAAGCGUGCGCAGGCGGUUUGCUAAGACAGGUGUGAAAUCCCCGGGCUUAACCUGGGAAUUGCGCUUGUAACUGGCAAGCUAGAGUGUGGCAGAGGGGGGUGGAAUUCCACGUGUAGCAGUGAAAUGCGUAGAUAUGUGGAGGAACACCGAUGGCGAAGGCAGCCCCCUGGGUUAACACUGACGCUCAGGCACGAAAGCGUGGGGAGCAAACAGGAUUAGAUACCCUGGUAGUCCACGCCCUAAACUAUGUCAACUAGUUGUCGGGGAAGAAAUUCCUUGGUAACGAAGCUAACGCGUGAAGUUGACCGCCUGGGGAGUACGGCCGCAAGGUUAAA
rnacentral:rRNA from 1 species